GACGUAGGGCGCGAGCGUUGUCCGGAUUUAUUGGGCGUAAAGAGCUCGUAGGCGGCUUGUCGCGUCGGGAGUGAAAACACCGGGCUUAACUCGGUGCUUGCUUCCGAUACGGGCAGACUGGAGGUAUGCAGGGGAGAACGGAAUUCCUGGUGUAGCGGUGAAAUGCGCAGAUAUCAGGAGGAACACCGGUGGCGAAGGCGGUUCUCUGGGCAUUACCUGACGCUGAGGAGCGAAAGUGUGGGGAGCGAACAGG
rnacentral:rRNA from 1 species